UACAGAGGGUGCUAGCGUUAAUCGGAAUUACUGGGCGUAAAGGGUGUGUAGGUUGUUGGGUAAGUCAGAUGUAAAGGCCUGGGCUUAACCUGGGAAGGUCGUUUGAUACUGCCUAGCUAGAGUACUAUAGAGGACAGUGGAAUUUCCAGUGUAGCGGUGAAAUGCGUAGAUAUAGGAAGGAACACCAGUGGCGAAGGCGACUACCUGGACUGAUACUGACACUGAGGUGCGAAAGCGUGGGGAGCAAAC
rnacentral:rRNA from 1 species